rnacentral:rRNA from 1 species
AUACAGAGGGUGCGAGCGUUAAUCGGAAUUACUGGGCGUAAAGCGCGCGUAGGCGGCUUAUUAAGUCAGAUGUGAAAUCCCCGGGCUCAACCUGGGAACUGCAUCUGAUACUGGUAAGCUAGAGUUUGGGAGAGGGAAGUAGAAUUUCAGGUGUAGCGGUGAAAUGCGUAGAGAUCUGAAGGAAUACCAGUGGCGAAGGCGACUUCCUGGCCUAAAACUGACGCUGAGGUGCGAAAGCGUGGGUAGCAAACGGGAUUAGAUACCCUAGUAGUCC